AAUGAACGCUGGCGGCGCGCCUAAUACAUGCAAGUCGAGCGAGAAGACGUAGCAAUACGUUUGUAAAGCGGCGAACGGGUGAGGAAUACAUGGGUAACCUACCCUCGAGUGGGGAAUAACUAGCCGAAAGGUUAGCUAAUACCGCGUACGCUCCUUGGACCUCGGUUCAGGGAGGAAAGCGAUACCGUGGGUAUCGCGCUCUUGGUUGGGCUCAUGUCCUAUCAGCUUGUUGGUGAGGAACGGCUCACCAAGGCUUCGACGGGUAGCUGGUCUGAGAGGACGAUCAGCCACACUGGCACUGCGACACGGGCCAGACUCCUACGGGAGGCAGCAGUAAGGAAUAUUGCGCAAUGGGCGAAAGCCUGACGCAGCGACGCCGCGUGGGGGAUGAAGGUCUUCGGAUUGUAAACCCCUUUCGGGAGGGAAGAUGGAACGAGCAAUCGUUCGGACGGUACCUCCAGAAGCAGCCACGGCUAACUUCGUGCCAGCAGCCGCAG
rnacentral:rRNA from 1 species